UCCUGCUAGAACCUCCAAACAAGCUCUCGAGACAGAUGAGGCUUUAGCAAGCAGCUUUCAAAGUCCUUUAUUUCGAUGCUGGAGGAUCAGACCAGUGACGGUCCUGUUUGUAUUAACCACAUGCCCGUGCUACUGAGGAUAAUGAACGAGGGAGCAGGAUUCUCACUCAGAAACCGGCCGUUAUGGUCUCGUUGAUGUCUACUGGAAAACUCACAUCUGUAAACCCUGAGCCCCAGCACGAUGGCAUUUCAAUGACAGGGUCUAACGAAAGUAACUAAGGAUGUACGCAUUCAUGUCCGACAUGAAGAAAGCAGUUUGGACAAGCAAGGACUGUCUCUUUCAUCAAGGAUCACCUCCGGGAUGUAGAACUCUCCAGCACCCUGUCUGCCUAUUUGCCACAAUGCUUCCCAUCAUGAGGAUAAUAAUGGACUAAACAUCCGAACUCUACCAAGUCCAUUCGCCUUUGUCUUCUGGAUCCUGGAGAAUACUCAAGACAAUUGGAGAUAUCCGUCCUCAUGGACUGAACAACUACUGGAUUUCUGGAUCUUCUGUUCAUAGACGGCCAUCUUUGGAUUAGCUGGACCAUAGCCUGUAUCUGUGUUGGCCUUCCUGCUAGAAUAAAAGCUGUCCUCAGACUCAGAAGCCUGGGAACCACACGGCUCUGAGAGGAACCCUCCUCGGCAGAGGCAUCGCACCUCCUAGAGGAGAGUAACGCCCGCUGAGCUGAGCUCAGGCACCUCGGCCAGGCUCUACUUCACUUCUUCCUUUCUUCUCCUCAUUGCUUCUCAACAAGUCACACCAGGAAGCAAGUCUCAUAAAAGAGAUUUAUUGGGAAGGCGCAGGGUAUAGAGGAACAAUCCAGGGUGGACAGCCUCUGCUCCCAAGAGAAGACAGCAUUGGGAACUAAGCAGACAUUUAACUAGGAUUUCUUAAGGGGUAGAGCUUUCCAGUUGGUGGUUUUUUGUUCAGACCUUUCACCUUUUCGGGAACUGGAGAUAACUUUGUGAUGGUUACAGAUGUUGGAAAUACCAUUAUGACAGUUAGAAAAGUCUGGGGGAAGGGGACUGGCUGCUGGACUUCCUCAGGGUGGGGCCUGGCCACUUUCCUGCCUUGAGAAUUUACAAAGUAUUUGAAGUUUAUAAAGGGGUGCUUGGCAGGGACACGUUUCCCUCCCACUCAAGCGUUCUGCAUGAAUAGCCAACAUCCCCAACUCUUUGUUUAUUAUUGAUAAUAUUGACAGUCAGGGCUGGGGAAGGGGGCAAGGUUAUCAUUAGAAUAUUCCCUGCUCAGUGUGACUGUGGACGUCCGUGGGGUCUGAUCUUUGCUGUUAGGGUGUACUCAGAAGUUGCAGGCCUCUGGCUUCAGAGCUGAGGGGUGGUAAUCCUGUAAUAACAACUGAUUAAAAGUCUGGCUAGACAUCUCUCGGAUCUGUUUCUGAAGAAAUCUAGACAAGAAGUCUGUAAGUCAAGGUGUGACUGAUUAGGAAAAAGAGAAAACAGGUAUAAGAGGGGUAGCAUCCGAUUCUGUGUUGGAUUAUUGAUGGUCUCAUUAAGCUGCUCUCUAUGUUUUUGGAGAUCCAUCUGGAAUGGUAGACUCUUAUCGUUAACUACGCCUGACUGAUUGAUAUAAAACCCCCACUCCUCUCCGGGGAAGAGACAAUGGCCUUCUCUCUCUGCCGUUAAGCAAACGUAAUCCCCGCCAAUUUGGUAGCAACGUAGCAGCCAAAGGGCCCAUUGGCCCUGGAGAGCGAGGAUAGUCUGAGCCACUCAAUGGAGAUCGGAAUGAUCUGAGAGGAAAACUGAUGGUAAAUAGCUAGAGAAGCAGUCAAUCCAGUUCCAGUUACUCCCAGGAUUGCAAGGAAAGGCAGGGUCCAGACUUCCCUUUCAUUAAGCCUCGGUGCUGUAAACUCUGUGAUGGGAACUGGCAAAAGUUCUUCACCAGAGCUUUCAGAAAAGGAAUGUUAUGGCACAAGUCACACACACACACACACACACACACACACACACACGGAAGAUAGAGCAAAGUUCUAAAUAAGCAAGCUCUAACUUUAUUUUUUUUUCUCUUAGCCUUUUUAUAUCCUCUAAGACAAAUUCUCUAUAUGAGAAGGAAACGUACCUCAUUCACAAGAGGGAGUUACAGCAGGAUUGUUGAUGAUAAGUUCAAAGCAGUAGUUUUAUCUCUCUUUCAUUCCAUAAGCUCACUUCUUAUGGCAUAUACCUGGGGCCUUAUCUGUAGACCUGGCCUAGGAAGAACCUAGAAUGAAUGUUUUUCUUUUUCUUUUUAAGGUUUAUUUGUUUACCAUAUAUGAGUACACUGUAGCUGUCUUCAGACACACCAGAAGAGGGCAUCGGAUCCCCAUUACAGAUGGUUGUGAGCCACCAUGUGGUUGCUGGGAAUUGAACUCAGGGCCUCUGGAAGAGCAGUCAGUGCGCUUAACCGCUGAGCCAUCCCUCCAGCCCUGAAUGUUUGUCUUGAUCAUUAAUUUCUUUCUAUUUUCCUUCCUAGUGCAAUUUAGUGCUCAUAGCAUAUGAAAGCUCACUGUGCCCCCUGUAUGCAGCCUUUAUGAGGAAGGGGCACAUUCUAUUCUUGGUGCUAACCUUAUUAUAUCUUUUUGGGGAAAACAAGCUAAACCAUCCCCUUAAAUUUUCUAUCAAUCACUCUAACUCCCUAAAAUUAUUUGGAUCAAAUCACAAAUUCUUGGAAAGUCAUUAAUUCAUCUAAACAGGAAUAUUUCAUGAACUUCAUCUUCAUGUUGAUAAGAUUGGAUUUAAGGUCGUCUCCUUCUGAUGUGUUAGGAUAUCCAGGGCUUACUGUAGCAGGAUAGCCGGUGCCACAUUGCCCUGACUCUUGUUGAUGGCGUUCUUACAUUGUCCUUAAGCCAUCUGGUUGCCCCAAGUGAUGGCCGGACGUUCCUGAUGCCAGCAGCACUCCUCAGGGAGGCAGGCAGUGCCUGACAAUGGGUCUCAGAGAAAAGGACAAGGCUCACUUCUGCAGCUUGUGUCCCAAGUGGACCCAUAAGGGAGAGGAUUGGCUGAGGAUGGGUCUAAGCUGGAUGCCUCUGGGGCCCCAAAAAGCUCUUCUGGAAGGCAGGGAGAACCGUGAGCAAGACGAUGGAGGUCAGGGGCCACAGUUUCUUUUUCUAAUGCCCUACAUUAGAAACAAUUUGCCAGAAGCCCUCAGCUCUUGGUCUGUCCAAUGCCAAGUCCUACCUCAGUUUAUCUGGAUGUCAAAGCUGGUCUUUGACACUGGAGUCUUCUUUUUCUAUCAUCUCUUUGAGAAGCAUCGUUUCUAGAAAUACCUUGCUUUUUUUCAAAUGGCAUUGCUUACCGCAAUUAAAGCAUCCAGCACUUUGUUUUUUUCUCUCCCACCCCACCCCUCCCCUCCCAGAGCUGAGGACCAAACCCCAGGGCCUUGUGCUUGCCAGGCAAGUGCUCUACCACUGAGCUAAAUCCCCAACCCCCUACUUUGUUUUUUCUUAAGACUUAGAAAUUACUUCUCCAAUCAGAGUAACAUCCAGGUACCAGAGGAAGGGAGCAAAGGGGUAUGACAUUAGCGAUUGGGACCCAAAGCUUCUGACUUUGGCAAUUUAAGUCAUUCUCUCUCUGGGGCCAGAAGCCUUUUAUAUCUUCUUAGACAAGGGUUCUUUAUAAAUUUACCUCACAAAUAAAAUGUUAUACAAAAAAAGGGAGUUACAGAAGCCUUUUAUAUCUUCUGAGACAAGAGUUCUUUAUAAAUUUACCUCACAGAUAAAAUGUUACACAACAGGGGAGUUACAGAAGGAUGUCCACAGUAAGUUCUAAGCAGUGCUUCACUCUGUAAGCUCAUUAUAAGUUCAAAGCAGCAGUUUCACACGGCCUUGCUUAUCAUAGUGUGUUGGGAGCAGCCUCAAGAUGUUGGAAGCAGCCUUCAUGUUAAAAAGCAAUUGUAUUUUAGCCGUGUGUUAGAUCAAAAGCAAUAGCCUUAUGUUAGAUCAAAGCGGCCAUAUCCAAGCCUGCACCUGCAGUUCUGCUUAAACUCAAUAGAUAGAAUAAAUCUGGUUGUCAGGUCACUUGGCACUGGUUGUCAGGUCACUAAGCAAUCCACCCUACUGUUCCCUCCACUGACCAAUUUACUCAGCCAAUAUCCUGGUCAUUGAGCCAGGCCCAUUCCUUUGUGGUUACCUAACCUCCCCACAUCUUGCUUCUACCAGUAUAUCUUCUGCCUGAGAAAAAUUAAAAAUUGUCAGCUUGAUUAGACCUCUUGACUUGCUGUUCGUUCUUUGCGACUCUUGUCCCCCACUCUCUUUUAGGUGAAUCCCAAACCCUGGCCGACUGCCCUGCGGGAUGGGGCAAUAGUGCACACCUGUGGCUUCAUCCUUGGACCUGACCCAGAAUGAAUGUUUUCCCUUGAUCACAAAUCUGUUCCAAGCCUGUUUCUCUUGUUAGUGCAAUUUAUGAAUGUUCACUGUGUUCCUUAUUAUGCAGCCUUUACUUACUAUUCUGUGAGGAAUGGGCACAUUCUAUUCUUGGUUCUAACUUUAUUACGUCCUUCUGGCAAAACAACUAAAACCAUCUCCUCAAACUUUCUAAAAGUUACUUAGAUCAGGGAUUCUAUAAAGUCAUUAAUUCACCAAAACAGCAUUAAUUCACGGAAGUUCAUCUUCAUGUUGAUCCGUGGGAAAUCACCCCUUUCCUGAUUCUUCAACUUUGUCCCAAGCAUUUAAAUGUGCUAAAUGGCAUAGCUCCAAGGCGUGAUCAGCAAGUUCAAGCUGCCUUUGUAACUUAGCACAUUGGCCUUCACCUAGCAACCGAUCUUGGGAAAUAUUAAAAUCCCAGGCCCUAUUUCAUUGUUCUCUGGCCCUAGCUUCCUUUCUCCCACAUUCACCAUCAUAACUGAGGACCAGCUUCUAAUAUGGCUGUUGUCAAAUCUUUCCAGUCUUGGAGGACAACUCUGUUCUGAGUUGCCCGUGAAUUUAAUAUCUGCUUCACAUAUGGUGAACACAUUAUAGAAUGAUUGCUUCCUUAAAUCUCCUCAAAUCUAAUAUGUCUAAAGGAUUUUAUUUAAUUUCUUCGUGACCCUGGGGGCAUCUAUCAUUUGCUGCCAAGUCUUACAUAGUAACUGGAUGAACUAAGGUUGGUUUGCUAACAACCUUGGGCUGCCCCUCUUUUGUUUCAUUACCCGGUGGCAUGGUAGGUUCUUGUCUAAAUUCCUCCACCUGGGUCUGAGUAAUUUUCUUAUUUUCAUCUAUAAGCCUUCCUAAGGUUCGUCUCUUAUCAAUCUACUUUGAACAUUUGGUGUGCGUAUGUGCGCUCGAGUACACACACACACACACACACACACACACACACACACACACACUAUGGCUAUUAAGGGUGGAAUCUGAACUACCAGACUAAUAGUAAUUAUAAUCAGUAUUAUGUCAAUCUCAAUUCAGUCAUUUAUCUUUUCGUUUUCUGUUUAUAUUUUCAAGCCAUCUGGAGUAGCACUACGCAGGGUCCCCAGUGUAUUGUAUUAUGGCAUUUCCCAUCCUUAACUAUCUCUCUGAGGACUUAACCAAACCUGAUGGCUUCUCGGUUUGUCUGCAGCUGGCACGAUUUCUUUGUCUGUGUGGUCGCGCCACACGUUGUAGGGCCAAAUGUUGUUGUUAAUAAGAUCUCAAAUGUUUGAUUUUACCAAUAAAGACUUAGGAGCUGGGUUCGAAUGCCUGUUAAUUCAGAGAGGCAGAGAAAGCACCCAGCUGACCUUCCCCCUCAGCUGACAUCCCAAUAGGAAUUUCUUCUCCUUCUCAAAAACCCCUCAAAAUGAAUGUCCCUCCCUCCUACUUCCUGUGCGACUCUCUAUCCACCCUCCUGACUUCCUCUUACUCUCUAUGGUUUUUUUUCCUAUGUUCACUUCCUGUCAACUAGACGCUUGCUCUGCCUCUUGACCUAUGGUUAGCUUCAUUUAAUCUUUUUUUUAUGAUAAGCAGAAAGCUCUUGGAUUAAAGUUAUAAGCUAGGGCUAAGCCAAACCACAACUUGAAGCAGGUUUUUCCAGUAAAUAAUGCAUCUCUCGGGGUUCAGAACGUGAUGAAAUAUGCUGCAGGGUGUCCUAUUCUUGAGAUUUUGUUUUGUUCAGCUAAACCGGUUAAUCGUCUAUUGUCUAUUCUUACAGUAGAAUAAUUUACUCUUUAUUCAUAACCCUGUCUUUUUGUGGUCCACUCGGAAACCUAUGGCCACAUUCCCAAAUCACAAGAUCAGGAACUCCAACGUAGAAUGAAUGUUUUCUUUGAUCACUGUCCCAAGCCUAUUUCUCUCUUCCAAGUACAAUUACAUGCUAUAACCCUGAAAGUUCAUUGUAUUCCUUUUCUAAUCUAUGCAGCCCCCCCUCCUCACAUCCUACAAGGAGGGGGCACGUACUACUCUUCAUUCGAACUUUAUCAUAUCUUUCUGGCAAAACAACUUAAACCGUCUCCUUAAACUUUCUGUAAACUACCCUGACUUCCCAAAACUAUUUAAAUCCAAUCAGGAAUUCUGUAAAAUUACUUCAUCAAAAAUAAUAAUUAUUUCAUGAAUGUUCAUCUUCAUAUUGAUCUGCAGGAAAACUGGCCAGUAGAGUGGGCUGUCUCCCAAGAAGCCAUCACACCAGACUAUAGGCAGUAAGGGUCUCUCCAUGCCUAAUCACACCAAGCUACAUAAAUGAAGAAAAUAGCAAUGACAGACAUGGGAAGGAGCAGCAGCAGCAAGAAGUAAUCCAGAGAUGAACCCCUCAAGACUGUGCCUCUCUGAGGUACAUCCACUGUAGCUGUGCAAAUUGGUGAACCAUCUCCAGAAAUCUCAUUUGUCCACUGUCUUAGGGUUUUACUGCUGUGAGCAGACACCAUGACCAAGGCAACUCUUAUAAAGACAACAUCUAAUUGGGGCUGUCUCACAGGUUCAGGGUUCAGUCCAUUAUCAUCAAGGUGGGAGCAUGGAAACAUCCAGGCAGGCAUGGUGCAGGAGGAGCUGAGAGUUCUACACCUUCAUCUGAAGGCUGCUAGGAAAAGACUGACUUCUAGGCAGCUAGGAUGAGGGUCUUAAAGCCCACACCAACAAUGACACACCCACUCCAACAAGGCCACGCCCACUUCAACAGAGCCACACCUUCUAAAAGUGCGACUCCCUGGGCCGAGCAUGUACAAACCCUCAUACCAACCAUAGCUCCUCCUCCUUGGCAUCCACCUAACUACCUUGAGGUAAUGGUAUUAAGGGUUUAAGAUGAGAAAGAUGAAUCCACUGAGAGAAGCCAUCAAGUUUAGCUGCAAUUGAGGUAGUAAGGAUGACCUUGAAAGGGGCCUGACCAUUUAAGGAGAAAGAGGAGGGGGAUUAUGACCAAAAGGAGGAGGGAUGAGCAAGUUCUCAAUGUUGAUUGAGGAGGAAAGGGGGUCAGGAUGAGACAGAGGCAAGGAAUGGUGGGUAUAGUCCCAACACAGCCUGCAAAGACGGCUAACAGAUGUAACAAAGGAGAAAGGUGGUGAUCAGGGAGAGGUGACGGUUGCGACAUGAGGCCAGGAGGCAGGACCAGCUGUCCAUCCAUGAGCUCAAAAUUGGAGAUAGUGUCCUCUCAAGAGAACCAGUGGCAGAAGUUUUAUCUGAUCAGCAGAAGUUCUUGGGAGACUUUGAUCUGAUGGGGAUGUGUAGAGAGAAGAAUAUGGGGUUUUGGCACCACAAGGUGAAGAGGCACCACUGACUGCCAAGUAAGUUGGAAAUCAUGAACCAAGUGAUAGAUUCCAUUGGGCUUUUUAGCCACAGGUAUGGGAGUGUUGAAAGAGGAAGAUCUGAGAUAAGGAGAUUACAUCCCCUGAGGCAUUGGAGAGAGAGACAGAAAGAGAGGGUGUUAAGCCCAGGUGAUAUAUUUGGUGGGGUUGUGUAAUCUGAUGACAAAAGGAGAAUGACAUUGGCUGGAGGGGUUUUGGGUGUCCCAUAGUUGUGCCAGGGAAAUGUCGGUGAUCCCCAAAAGCACAGACAGGAGCCGAUCUGAUGCAACUCACAGCAAGGCCUUUAUUCUAUUUGAGCUCUAUCGCCCCUGCUCCCUGCCCCCAUGCACU